GCUGGGCCUCUCAAAGAGAAGGAGGGAGGAGUGCGCCUUCUGAAUCGGAUCGCAGCCUGUGCCUUUGGGCCAUAAGGAAAGCAGAUCCGGAAGAACAAUGAAGUCCUGGGCUUGUUUGUUUUCACGACAAUUAAGGGAAUCUUUUGUAACCACUCCAGGGUUACGCACAGAAGUUUUUGCUUUAUACUAAACAAACCCGAAAAAUCCUUUUGGGCAACAGUCAAGUUCUCUUGCUCCAACGUUUUGGAUUGGUUGCUUCGGAUUACUUCUUUGGGAAAGAAUGCUGCCUACCUCCUCUCCUUUAUCCAAAGCGGCUGGAAAAACAGGCGGGGAAAUUCUUCAAAUGUCCUAUUAACUAGUAUAAUAAUAAUAAUAGCAGGAGUCUAGUGUAUUUUGGCAUAUUGAGUUUUAUUUCCAGUCCUGUAGCUUAGAUGUACUUUUUUGUGCCUUCAAGUCAACCUUGCCUCCAGAUCUGUCUCCCACCCAUCCCCUCCAAAACAAAAGAUGACACCAACUUCUCUUCAGAUUUUCUUAAAGCAAGAGCUCUGCUAGCUUACGUGUGAACAAAGAUGCUUCUCACUAUUUUGCUUGAACAGUAUGGUGAAACACAUUAAUCCGUUAAGGUGUAACACCAUUGUUUUUCCUUGCACUUGCAGAAAAUAAGAAAAGUCUUGAAUACAGUAGGGAUUUUGUUGUUUAUUUGCCCAUUUUCCAAUGUUUGUCAGUUUCAAUCACUUUUAAACCCCUUCCCUAAGCAAAGAGGAUUGUCUACCAACUAUUCAUUUUCAAUUGGGACACUAUAGGAUCCAGCUAGCUGCAAAAUCAUGAUGAGAUCUACUUCCCUCUUCUCUAGAGCUAUUUCUGCCCUAGGAUUUCCCCAUGAUGUUUGCUUAUUUCCUGUUACUUUAACUUUGGAAAUAGAAUGUGAGGCAAAAAAUAGGCAAACCAACCUAGAAAAGUACAAACAAGAAUCUUAAGGCAAAUCCUAUUCCUGCUGCAGUAGCUUGAUGGGUAGAUGUUUUUUAUUGCUGGCUUGUGAAAUGUAAAAGGAGAUGGUGGUUUGCCUUGCCCAGAAUGACCGACUACCAGAAUUGCUACCAGAAAAGCACUUUCAUUUUUAUUUUUAUGAAGUUAAAGAUAUAAUGUCAUUUCUUGUGCUAUCUACCUGAUGAUGCAAUCCAUCAAUAAAAUAGAUGCAUCCUCUACUUACAAACAGCCAAAGUCUGUUUCAGAAAUUAGAGAACUUUCUACAGCUGAUCUAGGGAAGAGGAAGGAAGACUUUCAAGUGAAAGGCUACUUCAAGUUGGAUUGACCCCAUGGGAAGCAGGGGUAAAAUGCUCCCAGUCGGACCAGAUUGGCCAAUCCAGUAGCGAUGGCAGGUGGUUCAAAGAACCAGUAGCAAAAAUCCCUUCCCCCCACCCACCCGGCCCCCCAUCCAUGCCCAGCUGAGCCGCGCGAUCAUCAGAGUCUUUUUUUUUUACUUUUAAAAGCAUUUUUUCUACAAUCUCUUCGGCCGAAUAGGUUGUAAAAAAAAUGCUUUUAAAAGUAUAAAAAAAGAUUGCGCGCCACAGUUGAUCACCACCCCAUGUGCUGUCCUACUUACCACAUGCCUCCUUUUGCCAUGCACUGUGUGCGCACACCUCGCAUUUGGUGCCUGGUGCGCACUGCGCAUGCGCGCGCAGCCCACAUGCACAGCCAGGGAACCAGUAGUAAACCGGUUCCGAUUUCACCACUGAUGGGAAGCUAUUGUGUUUGAAUUUGGCCACUGUUUUCAACUGGUCUUGCAUUAUGCACAAAGACUGGUGGCUUCAUUCAGGAUUUAAGAAAGGAUUUUUUUCCCUCAGUCCUGCUUUGUUGUCAGAAAAUAAACUUAGAACUUUCUGUAUGCAAAGCAUGUGCUCUGCAGGAAUGACAAUUUGCCACUUGGCAGAAUGUCAUCUCUGAUCAAUUCUCAUCUGUGGUAGGUAAGUGGCCACCUGUACCUAUCUAAGCAGCCUCUUCCCUAUUUAAUUAGUGUAUGAGCAGCUAUGUGAUCUGAAUCCACCCUAAGCAGAUGAAUCACAAAUUUUGCAAAGGAGGAGGGUCUUACAAAUUUGGAACAUCAUUCCUCUUCUAAUUUGGUAGGACUUAUCUAAUUUAGAGGUGGUCAGAUGGCAGCCUAAGAGCCAGAUGUGGCUCCGUAUAUAUUUUACCUGUCCCUUACUUUUAAAAAACAUACCUUAACAUAUAUAUUUCUAGGGUAAAUUUUGCAUGCAGGACAUAAGCAUUAUUGUGUGGAAAAACUACAUCUGAGCAUAAGUGUUUCAAAGCUGGAAAGCUUUUACUUCUGGACAGUGCCAAUUUUUUUAUGAAGCUAAUCACCCUCCACCCUAUCUCACCUGAAUGCAGGUGGCCAAUGCUACAAAUGAUGAUAAUCUUUUGCUCUAGAGAAUCAGAUCAAAAUAUCCCAUCAUCUCCAUAAGUAACAUGCUUCAUAUGGGAAAAGAAAAGAAAAAUAAUUCUGAUUAAGCUUUUCUGCUAUUUACCCUUCUCACACUGGAUGAUUCAUAUGGAAACUGAAAGUCUGGUUCCAAAACAAAUGCUAAAGAAACUGCCAAUUUUUCUGUUGGACCAAGUCCUGCUCAAAUUUCAAACUAAAGUGCAGAGGAUGAUUAUUAAUGUUCAACUACCAAAACCUUUGCUAUUCCUUUGACUUAAAAUGAUCUAGUGGUCUAGUUCACAUAUAACACUAAACCAUAAUGUUUUCAGCUUAUAAGAAUCCACAUUGUGGAUUCUUUGUGGCUUGGCAAUAUGUGUGAAAGCAGUUCUAUAUUAUUUCUCUCUCACACAGGCUUCAAAUUGUUUCAUAAUAAACUGCAGUUAUCUUAUUUCCACUGAUGCAUUCAAGAUUAUGUUGCAAUUGAAAUUCCCAGAAUUUUAAUCCAUCUAUUGGCAAUAGCUGGGGUUUUAACUAGGGUUUUCAAGAGUUGUUGCUCCAGCACAUCUGGAGAAAAUAUUGUAGUAGAAAAUUUUGUGACGCUGUUUAUGGAUGAUCACAACGGUAAUAAUAUAAUUCUAGACACUUCAAAAAUUCUGUGGUAUUAUUUAGUAUGGAGAAAAUUCAUUUUCAAAGAACGAUGGUUUGAGUGUUGGGAAAAGAUAUUUGUGAGAAAAGGCAGCAUGAGUUUUCCAACAGCCUCAAAAUCUCAAAUCACCACAUUCUAAAACUUAAAGGUGAAAUAUACUAGUUGAUACAGAUAGAAACGAAAUAUACUAAUCGACAUAGGACAUUCAUUUUCAGGCAAUCAUUUUAGUCCAGUUUUAUGUUCUCUGUCUUUUAUACUAACCAUACACUGUACAAGAUAUAACUUUUAAUAUUUUCAUUGAUUUGUGUGGGGAUUUUUGUGGUUUAACAACCAUUUUUUAUGAUUGUAAAAGAAAAAGAUUACAGUUUAAUUUCAUUAUAUUUUAUAUUUUGCAUUAUUCUGCUGAAAAUAGCCAGAAAAAUUAGGUGGUUAGAACAAAACUAUCCUCAAACAGGUCUGCUGGAAGUAAGGAAUGGAAUAACAUAUUGACAAUUGAUGGCUUGAUCCACACAUCAUACCAAACCCAAAUCUGGUUUGCUUAUAGUUACAAUAAAUUCAGCUCUUUGGUUUAUAAAUCAUGGUUUAUAGCUAUAUGCUAUGUGAGAUCAGCAACAGUAUCUUAUUCAAAAAACUAUUGUGACGUAAAGAGUUUGUUCACACAUUGCUCUAUCUACAAAAUCUCCCACCGGUAAUUCUACCUAUCCCCAUAAUUUUUCACCACAGACCCCAGCAAAUUUUUCCUCAUAUUUUUAAUCCUUUGUCCACUAUUUUGGCAGUCCCUUUUUGCCUCUGCUCCAUGCCUUUUCAGGGAAGAAUAGGUAAUAAGGGAUCAGAUUCUGAAGACUAUGAUAAUCACUAUAUGAUAGUUACAGAAUGCCAUGCUAUCUUAAUACAGUGAUGGCAAACCUAUGACACAUGUGUCAAAGGUGACACACCAUGACGUGUUGUGUGGCAUGCAUUCACCAAUACCCAACAACUAUACUUGAAAGUACAUCCUCUUCUUGCACAGUUUUUGGAGGCUGCAGAGUCCAUUCUGUGAAGAGUGAAGAGCAUUCACUGAAGCCAGUUCAGGAACGAAGCCUUCAUGCAACCGGGAGCAGCUUCUAGAAGGCGGCAGGGGCCUAUCAACAGACAGAGAACACCACCUGAGGAUUCAAUACUGACAUUUGCCAAAGAUUUCAAUGCUAGGAUGGGAUAAUGAAACUCUUCUUCAAUACUAUAAUACCUCAUUUGCUCUUUGAUUGGUCUGUCCUCAUGGAAAUCUAAAGAUGCCAGAUUCAACCGAGCGGAAUGGAGACUGUUGCAACUGAUGAUAAAACUCAACAUGAAAAUUCUUCAUGAAUCUAUGAAACAGAGGGCAAACUAACAUUUUGGGGUUCUAUGGGGACUUUUGUUUUAGAUUACAUGCUAAUUUCUAAUGGUUUUGCCUCCUAUUACAAUCAUUUGUAUAUCUUUCCUCUGCUGGUGAACAUUGAUUGAUUGAUUGAUUGAUUCACCUGGGUCUUUCCAACUAGCAAAUGCUCACCUAUCAGUAGCAGAUUCUUCGCUAUUAGUUUAAUUGAGUGGAGCCAAUCUUUACAAGCCCUUGAUUCCCUUGGUAUUCCCCUCUGUUGGUGUCCCACAGACCUUGGGCUACAAUGGUUGGUGCCCCCUUUGUUGGAUGCCAAUUGCUGGCGGGAAGUUUUGGGGGUUUCCCAGGUUUGCCAUUUUUCUCUUCUUUCUUUUUCUUAUUCAAGACUGGUUCUGCUUUUAUCUCUGUUGUACAGCCUUUAAAUUGUUUCGGUUUAUUGUGAUAAUUUGGAAUUGGGUGACAUUUAAGUGAAUAAAUAAAUUAAACAAUUAUUUUCAUCCGUAUGGUCCCAAUAAGCUGCCUGUGGUUAUGGCUCAAUUCUUUGUAGCCUCAGCAGUUAAUUGUUUGAAAUAAACUGUAAGUGUGAGUAACAAGGCCUGUUAAACAAUCACUAUAUGCCAACAAAUUAUUAUUUUAGCUCAAAACAGCUGGUAAAGAUAUAAUUUUACCAGAAUUUCUAAAAUCUAAUCUUAUUUGGUGGGCAUCUGUGCUAGCUUCCCUUUUUAUUGCCAUAAAUAUUUUACAAUUCUCUUUUUAAAAAAUCGAUCAUACAAAAAGAAAACAAGUCAAAUCAUCACUCUAUUAGCAAUAGCAAUAGCACUUAGACUUAUACCGCUUCAUAGUGCUUUUACAGCCCUCUCUAAAAAGUUAGCCCUUUAUCUGUCAUGAAAAUUAAUUAUAAUCCAAGUUUUUAUAGUAUAAAGUCUUGAAAUAGAUAUUUUCUAAUAACACUUUGGCUCCAGACUAGGCGAGCUUUAGACCUUGCCAUUUAACUAUGGAUCAAUGUACAUAUUGCAUCACCUACCUAAGAAAUAUAGUCUCUCCAGUUGCCCACACUAUAUCACUUUCACAGACCUCAAGGCAGCCUUUGCUUCUAUAUGACAUGAGAGACUUUGGAAAGAAUUAGCCAUAACACUGAUUCAUCAUCUUCCUAAACUGAUAAUAUAUCUUUAAUUUGUCACCACCAUGCAAAUCA